UCAUGCGGCACCGGCGGCGGCGGUGGCGGCGACGACGACUAUAAGAUCGAUUUCGGGACGAGGGAGGUUAGUUCUCUCGAUCUCUAUAUCGCGACUGAUCUGCCGAUCCUGUGGAGCAAACGGCGCCUUUGUCAAAGCAUCAAACGGUGCCGACUUCUCAGGCACCGUUCUGCUGCCACUUUUGAGGAUGAACGCUGCUGUGAAAAAUUUUCGAAGAACGAGGCGGAAGGCAUGAAAGAGAGAGAAGGGAAAAGAGAGACAGGGAUCUUUCUCAAUUGUUUUUCUUGCGCAAUCUAAAUUUUUUUAUCUUAAAGACUGAAGUAAAAACGCAUUGCGUCUCAAGUUCCAGAAACACGAUAUGAUUCGGCUGAAAAGGAUAGGCCUGUGGCGCAGGAAGUGAUUGAAACGGGUUCCUUGACGGACCUCAAGCCACGAAAGGGUCUGUAGGAUAAUGAAACAGUUGCCUCCAAGGGGAGACAAAUGACGAAAUUGAUGCAGGGGACGAAGGAGAAACGGUCUCCUCUUCGUGUGCAUGUCUAAAGCUUGAUCACGUCUGGACAAAACUUGCUGACGUGGUUCUAUUGUUGUCAAAAAUUGAUAAAGGCAGAGGAGGAUCUUACAAUCGAGAGACAGAAAAGAGGACGGGAAAUGAAUGGAAAGAAAGAAAGCGCGAAACGCCGAGAUCGGGCGGAAAGUGCGGGCGAGAGAGAAGCGGGAUAAUAUCGACCGGUGCGAGGAAUUUAGUCCCGUUCAGCUGUCGUCAUGCUCGUCAUUGUAAUUCCUACGGCGCAACGUAAUCGGAAAUGAGCCACUCGGUUGCCGACGACAGAGACUAAGCAAUUUCGACGGGGCGACCCAACCCGGAAACCCGACAUGCCGGCUGUAUCUUCCCCGAUCUUCAUUUCGUUACAUCUCUUAUCGGAUUUCCUGUCUUUCUCCCGGGCAAUGGUCACACAUACUUCCCUUAUCUCAGCCGCAUAACUUUCAUACGAAUAUCUCUUCACGGAGAGAAGAGGAGAUGGAUCGGAUUGCCGAUUAUCAUGCCCCGACGAAGGGAACGAGAAGAGAGCCUGGUAUCGCGUUCUCACGGGAAUGAAGUGCCUUUCUAACCUUAAAAAGGGACGCAGGGAAGGAGCGGAAAGGGGACUUCGUUCGCCGAAGGGGACGAGGCUCGCCGGCUUCGCGCGAACAGGCCGACAGGAUCUACGGAUCGAAGUUUCCAGAUCGCGGCCUUCGUCGCGUACGUAUGCGAGACAACGACGGCCCAGUCGACGCGCGAAAGAGACGGAAAGACAGACAGGGAAGAUCGCGGAAGGCGACGAUCGCGCGCCGGCGAUCUUCGGUGACUCACCUGAAGCACGAACGACCACGGAGAAAAGCGGUUACGGGAUGCGAUCGGGGGACGAUCAGCAGUGGCGGUAGUAGACGCACCUUAGAGUCCUGCGCACGGACAAGCACACGUAGCAGCGGCAGUAGAAGCGGUCGUGGUGGUGUCGUAGUUGCCGUACGAACGCCGCGCGGGUCGGAAA